rnacentral:rRNA from 1 species
AUGCGCCGUGCUAAACACGCCCAGGCUGCCAAAGCAGAGGAACACCACGCUGCCCUCUGGUUGUGCGUCAAGCCAUGCCAGGCACUCGCCGCCGCGCUUCACGCCCACCUCUGCCGACUUUAUCAGCGGCCCGAUGCAGUGCACCGGUGGCGUCGGCAGGCCGGGCGGCGUGCACAGCCCGGCACCGAUCGCCUCAACGGCGCGCGGCUCCAAUGA